rnacentral:rRNA from 1 species
GACAGAGGGUGCAAACGUUGUUCGGAAUUACUGGGCGUAAAGCGUGCGCAGGCGGUUUUGUAAGUCUGUCGUGAAAGCCCCGGGCUCAACCUGGGAAUUGCGAUGGAGACUGCAAGGCUUGAAUCUGGCAGAGGGGGGUAGAAUUCCACGUGUAGCAGUGAAAUGCGUAGAGAUAUGGAGGAACACCGAUGGCGAAGGCAGCCCCCUGGGUCAAGAUUGACGCUCAUGCACGAAAGCGUGGGGAGCAAACAGG